AGCCGGUGAUGAAAUCUAUAUUUCUGACACCUCGUAUGAGUAUUGCCAAUGUCAAUACCUGAUUAUGUUUACGAUCUGAGGCUG